AGGAUAGAAAUGAAGAAACAAAGCAAACGAAACAGAGAGCAGGGGAAGGAAAGAAAGAAAAAGAGAAAAGAAAGAAGAAAAGGGAAAAUUGAAAGUGUGAAGCUUGAAAGUUUAAUAGGUUAAUAGAAGUCUAUUGUCCCUGUCCAGCAUCCAAACGAUCCUGACUCUAGCAAAAAGAUUUUUGGUGAUUAUUUUUUUUCCUUAAUUGGAAGUGGCAUGUACUAGGUGUUGUAUAGGUUACAUUGAUAUGCUUGUAAUGUUGGUUGUAAGAAUGGUAUACCAUAUUUUGUUAUUAUUAUGAUAAAAUGGUAAAGAUUAUAUUAUAUAAUUUGGUAUUAAGUUAGAAUGAAAAAUGAAUGAAGUUAGUAGUUAAUUUUGAUUAA